ACUGAAGGUUGAGGACGAUCAGCAGACCCAGGAGGAGAGAACCACUCCAGAACUUCAUGAUUCUCUCUCUCUCUCUCUACAGCAGCAGGAGACGAAGAUGAUGAUGAUGAUGGUCUGAAAUCUUCUCGAAUGUGGACUGAAGGCAGAGGACGACCAGCAGACCCAGCAGGAGAGAACCACUCCAGAACCUCAUGAUUGUUUCUUCAGCUGCAGGAGAUGAUGAAGAUG